GAAGGAGCGAUCUGGAGCGAAUCCCAAAAGCAGGUCACAGUUCGGAUUGCAGGCUGCAACCCGCCUGCAUGAAGUCGGAAUCGCUAGUAAUCGCGGAUCAGCAUGCCGCGGUGAAUACGUUCCCGGGCCUU
rnacentral:rRNA from 1 species